rnacentral:lncRNA from 1 species
UACCAAGGCUGUGUAAUCGAUUACCAGAGAUGAAAAGCCUUAAAAUACCCUUUUUAAUUGCAUGUAGUGGUUAUGAGACGCAUUGUGUGCAGCGCAGUUAGAUUCUUGUGAAAGAGUCUACCCCUCUCUUUUCUUUCUUGUAGAUCGUGAUGGCGGCGCAGCUAAUCUGUGAUCGAAUAGAGAUGGAGUGCCUGGAGGGAGCUUGGGAGACCCUCGAAGGCAACACGAGGUGCCGAUUUCGGGGCACCAUUCGAUUCACGGCUACUUCUUUGGUGCAUCCAGAUGAGGGCUUUUUACUUUUUUUCCAUAAAUAAAGCAGUCGUAUUUCUAUUUUAAGGAAGAAUCGAAAUAUUGUGGAUAUUUGGAACAAGUUUCUAUUUGUAAUAAAAAAUCAAGUAAUCAUAGAAUUUCAUUAGAAUAUAGUAAAGAAAGAAAUUCAAAAAAAAAGUGUAAAAUUUUUAAAAAGGGAAAGAUUAACAAAAAGUAAGUGGACCUAACCCAUUGAAUUAUACCUAUAUUUACUAUUCUGAUAUUCAAAUUGGAUAAAGAUGAAAUUCGAACAAUGAUUUUUUCAUUUUCUUUUUAAUACUUUUUUGGUUUAGACUCCCUAAGAAUCUGUCGAUAUUUCCAAUUAAAUCUUCUUGUUCCUGUGAAGGUCCUAU